rnacentral:rRNA from 1 species
GCAGUCGAGCGGUAGCACAGAGAGCUUGCUCUCGGGUGACGAGCGGCGGACGGGUGAGUAAUGUCUGGGAAACUGCCUGAUGGAGGGGGAUAACUACUGGAAACGGUAGCUAAUACCGCAUAACGUCGCAAGACCAAAGUGGGGGACCUUCGGGCCUCAUGCCAUCAGAUGUGCCCAGAUGGGAUUAGCUAGUAGGUGGGGUAACGGCUCACCUAGGCGACGAUCCCUAGCUGGUCUGAGAGGAUGACCAGCCACACUGGAACUGAGACACGGUCCAGACUCCUACGGGAGGCAGCAGUGGGGAAUAUUGCACAAUGGGCGCAAGCCUGAUGCAGCCAUGCCGCGUGUGUGAAGAAGGCCUUCGGGUUGUAAAGCACUUUCAGCGGGGAGGAAGGCGGUGAGGUUAAUAACCUCGUCGAUUGACGUUACCCGCAGAAGAAGCACCGGCUAACUCCGUGCCAGCAGCCGCGGUAAUACGGAGGGUGCAAGCGUUAAUCGGAAUUACUGGGCGUAAAGCGCACGCAGGCGGUCUGUCAAGUCGGAUGUGAAAUCCCCGGGCUCAACCUGGGAACUGCAUUCGAAACUGGCAGGCUAGAGUCUUGUAGAGGGGGGUAGAAUUCCAGGUGUAGCGGUGAAAUGCGUAGAGAUCUGGAGGAAUACCGGUGGCGAAGGCGGCCCCCUGGACAAAGACUGACGCUCA